rnacentral:snRNA from 1 species
AUGAUCUAGAGAAUAUUAGCUAAAAUUGGAAUGAUCUAGAGAAUAUUAGCAUGUGCAAGGAUAACAUGCAAAUUCGUGAAGUGUUCCAUAUUUUU